rnacentral:rRNA from 1 species
UACGGAGGGUGCGAGCGUUGUCCGGAAUCACUGGGCGUAAAGGGCGCGUAGGCGGCUUCUCAAGCGUGUGGUGAAAGUCCGGGGCUCAACCCCGGAUCGGCCGUGCGGACUGGGGAGCUCGAGUUCUGUAGAGGCGGGUGGAAUUCCGGGUGUAGCGGUGGAAUGCGUAGAGAUCCGGAAGAACACCGGUGGCGAAGGCGGCCCGCUGGGCAGAGACUGACGCUGAGGCGCGACAGCGUGGGGAGCAAACGAGG